rnacentral:pre_miRNA from 10 species
ACAGCAAGAAAAAUGAGGGACUUUCAGGGGCAGCUGUGUUUUCUGACUCAGUCAUAAUGCCCCUAAAAAUCCCUUGAGUUUGGCCAGUGUG